GACCCCAAGGCCCCAGGCCCAACAUUAGGAAAACUAACCCCUGUGCCCUGAAGCUGCAAGAUGUUCCAUAUAGAUAACCCCGGAAGGGCCAAACUUGAGCAAACAGGGUAAAAACAGGAACUAAAAGGACAGGAUGCAAUUUUAUGGUUUUUCUGAGAACUAAAGUGGAAAAACAAGUUUACCCCCCUAGGUGACUCAACUGCUGAAUUCAGAGGGACCAAUAGGAAGGCUGUUGCUGUGCUAAGCUAAGACCUAACCCACCUGUUCCCUAUAAAAGAUCUAUACCCCAAAGCCCGGUGUGCCAGUUCACCGAAGCUCCGGCUGAGGUUUUGCUGUGCACCCGCAGGCGCCUGUGUGAGAAUAAACGCCUCCUGCUUUUUGCAGCCAGUGUCUCGUGUGGUUCAUUCCGGGUUUGGGAUCUGUGGAUAUUUCAUUGUGGAGGCCCCACCGAGAUCCAAGAUCCCGGUUCCGGUUCCGAUCCCGGUCCCUAUCCGGAGGACACCCGACAUCACUGGGAGACUCAUUUGCAUGCUUUGCAAUUGGUCCAGAACGAGGUCUGGAAGCCUCUAGCCGCAGCAUACAAAGAGGAACUUAAAACCCCCUUGCUGCCACAUCCCUUCAAGGUCGGAGAUACCGUCUGGGUACGCAGGCACCAGAGCAGGAACCUCGAACCGCGGUGAAAAGGACCCUACACUAUCCUGCUGACCACUCCUACUGCACUCAAAGUGGACGGCAUCGCUGCUUAGAUCCAUGCUUCCCACGUGAAGACUGCACAUCCACAGGAGUCCGCAGACACCUCUCCGGAUCCAGAAUGGAAGUUGCAACGUACCCAAAAUCCGCUAAAGAUAAGACUCACUCGAUGUUGAUUUUUCUUGCUUUGUGCUGUGUCUUCCCCAUAUCAGUUAACCCCAACCAAUCUGUGAGCCAGACAUGACAAGUAUUAUCGGGGACAAGAAAUAUAAUUUAAAAAAAAACAACAAAAAACAAAAAACAAUGGGGCCUGAGAGUAUAUCAUAAAACUGCCUAUGACCCUGGGGUCCUAUUCAAAAUUAGAUUAAUAGUAAAUACCAACCCCCAACCAGUAUGCUGAGCCGUCAGCUGAAAUAAUGCUGGAAUCCGAGCAGAUGGGUCAAUGGAUAUAAGAUUAUAUCCAUGAUAUAAAAAAAGGGGGGAAUGAAGGACCCCAAGGCCCCAGGCCCAACAUUAGGAAAACUAACCCCUGUGCCCUGAAGCUGCAAGAUGUUCCAUAUAGAUAACCCCGGAAGGGCCAAACUUGAGCAAACAGGGUAAAAACAGGAACUAAAAGGACAGGAUGCAAUUUUAUGGUUUUUCUGAGAACUAAAGUGGGAAAACAAGUUUACCCCCCUAGGUGACUCAACUGCUGAAUUCAGAGGGACCAAUAGGAAGGCUGUUGCUGUGCUAAGCUAAGACCUAACCCACCUGUUCCCUAUAAAAGAUCUAUACCCCAAAGCCCGGUGUGCCAGUUCACCGAAGCUCCGGCUGAGGUUUUGCUGUGCACCCGCAGGCGCCUGUGUGAGAAUAAACGCCUCCUGCUUUUUGCA